CUGCGGAAUGAGCGCUCCUAUCAGCGGAGCCGUGGUGGGAACAGUAGACUGUAGCGGGGUCCCCAGUGCUUGGCGCACGGCAACAUAGUUGAGCAGAGCCAGCAUCUGCUCUGUCAGCCCGAAGAAAUUUACAGAUUAGGAGGCAAUUUCUUUAAUUUCUUGUAAAUGUUUUCGCCCAUUUCUUGUUGUUGGAGGCAAUUUCUUGGAUUUCUGUUUUUUUUUUUGUAAAUCAAUUUUUUGGAUUUCUGUCACUGGUUCUUUGUUGGCUGUUCAAAGGAUGGUGUGUAGGGGUAGAGGGAGACGACAAGCACAGAUAAGGGGGGAAGGCACCGGUGACGACGGCAGUAUAUUUUUGGAGAAACAAAUGCCUCCUUUGUUAACAAUAUUUAAG
rnacentral:lncRNA from 1 species